GAGACAUCUUCAAUCGACACUUGAGAUUGACUCCUCACAGUUAACUCUUCCGUCAGUUUUGACACCUCAUUUUAUAAAACUUCAAUUUCAGACCUCAGUUUCCCCGUUUCACAUCUCAAUUGGUCACAUAAUAACGCUUUCUUUGUCUCCAAUAACUCUGUCUUGUCCACUUCCGCUUGCAACUGACAUUUGAACUUCUCCCAUUCCAAAUCCCAUGACUUCCUAUUCUGAAUCAAUUUGUCCCGUUGUCCUUCCACAAUCCAUGAAAUCUGUUCUUUUUCCUUUGUCCAAGACCCAUAUUGGAGAACCAAUUUCCGCUCCAGGACCAACUUGGCUUCUUCGAUUUCUUGAAUCCUCAGUUCUUGCUCCCUAAUUUUUCGAUUUUGAUCCGAUAUCCUUUUUUUACUGUCCUCCCAAUCUCGUUUACUUCUGUCUUCUACAUCCAAU
rnacentral:lncRNA from 1 species